GGCGGUUGGGCCGCGGCGGUCUCCAACGGCGGGCGGGAAGCGGAGGGGCGAGGAGCCGGGGAACUAGGGAAGGAGGGACUGCAGGGAGGAGGAGGAUGAAAGGGAGGAGGAGGGGAGCCCGGCCCAGCCGGAGCCAUCUCCAUCGAGAACAAAAUGGCGGCGCUGGCGGAGGGCCAGCUGUGAGGCGGGGCCGCGGCCAUUCCCCCUCCGCCCCCACCCUCGCGCCGGCCGGGCCGGUCAGGGGGAGCCCGCUCUCUUCGCCCGGCCGCGGGCGGGGAGGGGAGGGGAGCGGCCCGGCCCACUAUGCAAAGCGUCCGGCGCCGCCGCCGCCGCCGCCCCGUGGCAAAGAUGGGCCUGGAGGCAUGGAGGUAUCUACCAAAGGUCAAAUCCCUACUUAGCUGAAGAGAAGAUAAGAACUUGGAUCUCUUGGUUGAGGGGUUGAUGCUGUGGAAGACGGACGAGAAGGCACUGCUCGAGAAGCGUGGGGAGGACAGGGGAAAGCUCAUGCUCACGGGCCGCUCUGUAACCAAGACAAGCCAUGGAGGAAUGGAGGACUGCUUUUGUUCUGAGCCUCCCCAGAAAAGUGGUUUCAGGCACCAACCACGGGCCGGCGAGAAGCCACGUGGGCCACCUGGAAGAACGGAGAUGGUGUCCCCAGGUUACCUCUCAUCAUGCCUGGGACAUCCCCGCCCCUCUUCUUCAGCUCCCCAUAGCAGCCAUCACAGACCUUGGCCAUCCGGUCCUUGAGGUGACUGCAUCAAAGAACCAGGUAGCACUGUGGAGUACUAUGUAGCAACCAAAAGGAACUGAUGGUACACACGACAGCAUGGAUGAAUUUCGAAGACAUGCCAAGUGAAAGAAGCCAGACACAGAGGAGGAUACACUGCUUCAUAACAUUUAUAUGAAGUGCCAGAUCAGGAAAAGCUAACCUGUAGUGAUGGAAAUUAGGCCAGUGGUUGCCCGAACAGGGGGUGGAGGAAGUGAGUGCUAAGAGGCACAGGUGAACAUUCAAGAAAUAUUCUGUAUCUUGGGGAGCCUGGAUGGCUCAGUCGGUUAAGCGCCGACUUUGGCUCGGGUCGUGAUCUCACGGUUCGUGGGUUCAAGCC